rnacentral:rRNA from 1 species
GAUAAACGCUGGCGGCGUGCCUAAUACAUGCAAGUCGAGCGGAAACACUUCGGGUGUCGAGCGGCGGACGGCUGAGUAACGCGUAGGAACAUACCCCAAAGUGAGGGAUAAGCAUCGGAAACGAUGUCUAAUACCGCAUAUGGUCUAAGGAUUAAAGUCUUCGGACGCUUUGGGAGUGGCCUGCGUAUGAUUAGAUAGUUGGUGAGGUAAUGGCUCACCAAGUCGACGAUCAUUAGCUGGUUUGAGAGGAUGAUCAGCCAGACUGGGACUGAGACACGGCCCAGACUUCUACGGAAGGCAGCAGUAGGGGAAUUUUCCACAAUGGACGAAAGUCUGAUGGAGCAACGCCGCGUGCAGGAUGAAGGCCUUCGGGUCGUAAACUGCUUUAU